AAACCAGGGGUUUCGUGCAUGACGUAUUUUUGGGGGCGGAGUUGUGGGAAGGCUGUUGUCGUAAGGGGAGGGACUUGAAUAGGGUCAAGGAGCAUGCGCAGAGAGGAACCCGCACAAUUCAAAAGGCCGGUGUGAAUCUGCUGCCGAAAAAAGAAACCGCUGGAGCAAGAAAGCAUUUCCUUAAUGGCCGAACAAAGCGGUGUUGAUUUGGUUUGCAGAAGGCAUGCUGGAAGAUCAGAAUUUCCAUUUUUCAAGCACAGAAGAUGCAGUCAAAGAACUCAAGAAAGGAGAUUGCAGUAAAACGUCUACAGGAAUCAGGUACAGUCAUGUUACUCUUACAAGUAAUUAGUAAGAACUUUAUAUUUGAAGUGUGCAAAAAUGUUUUGUUUUGCAGAAGAUUUGUCUGAUGUCUGCAGACUCUGUGGGGAAGCCACUACACAGGAUUCUGUGGACACUGCUACUGCUUCUAAAUGGAUUGCCUGUGACUGAUGCAACAAGUGGUUCCACCAUUCAUGUGUCGGAAACUCACCUGAAGAGGAGGAGUUCCUUUGCCCUUUGUGCAAGAUAUAAGACAGCCCCUACCAACUAACUCAUCCGCUGACCCUGCUUUUAAAUGUCAUUGCUACCACUGUUUUCCAACAACUCUAAUCAGACUUCUUUUUCAUUUUAUGUUAAAAAAAACACACCUUAAAAAUGUAUGUCAUAACUUUAUUGUAGACUUUUUCACCGGAGGUUGUUUAUUUUUUUUAAAGACAAUACCUUUUAUAGUUUCCAUCAAUUACAGUUUGCCAAUUCAACUACUUACUUGACACAGCACAUGCUAACCCUCACUUGCUGAGACUAAAGAAUGUAAAUGAACUUUGUGCCCUUUUUAGAUAGAAAAAGCUGGAAAAUAUGUUCCGCAACGAAACUACAUUUAGGUCAAUAUAAUGUUCUCUUUUUGUAUACUUCAGAAUUUAAUACAUUUGCUAUUUGAGUUUAGAAACAAUAUGCUCAUAAACAUACUUUUAUUGUUAACAUUGUUUUCAUGCCUUAUAUCUUGAUUGUAUUAAAUCCCAUACAUCUGACACAGAGGCAAACUAUGUUCUGACUCAGGAUAACUGUAGUCCCAGUGUAAAGAGUUAAUGCAUGAAAAAAUAAUUAUAUAAAACAAUGAAAGUAUAUCCAAUAAAAAAAAAAUAUAUACA